GACGAACGCUGGCGGCGUGCUUAACACAUGCAAGUCGAACGGUAAGGCCUGGCUCUUGUGCGGGGCUCGAGUGGCGAACACGGGUGUGUCACGCGUGUAACACGUGCUCUUCUUUCGGGUAUCUUCAGGAGACUCGGGGUCUUAUACUGUAUACGCUAUGGCUCCGUGUUGGGGUUUGGAAAGAUUCGGCGGUUGGGGAUGGACUCGCGGCUUAUCAGCUUGUUGGUGGGGUAGUGGCUUACCAAGGCUUUGACGGGUAGCCGGCCUGAGAGGGUGACCGGCCACACUGGGACUGAGAUACGGCCCAGACUCCUACGGGAGGCAGCAGUGGGGAAUAUUGCACAAUGGGCGGAAGCCUGAUGCAGCAACGCCGCGUGCGGGAUGACGGCCUUCGGGUUGUAAACCGCUUUCGCCUGGGAAGAAGCGAGAGUGACGGUAAGGGGAGAAGAAGCACCGGCUAACUACGUG
rnacentral:rRNA from 1 species